rnacentral:rRNA from 1 species
UACGUAGGGUGCAAGCAUUAAUCGGAUUUAUUGGGCGUAAAGGGCGCGUAGGCGGAAAUGCCAGUCAGAUGUGAAAUCCCGGGGCUCAACCCCGGAACAGCAUUUGAAACUACAUUUCUAGAGGGUAGGCGGAGAAAACGGAAUUCCACAAGUAGCGGUGAAAAUGCGUAGAUAUGUGGAAGAACACCAGUGGCGAAGGCGGUUUUCUAGCUUAUACCUGACGCUGAGGCGCGAAAGCAAGGGGAGCAAACAGGG